UUAAGUAGACCGCCUGGGGAGUACGGCCGCAAGGUUAAAACUCAAAUGAAUUGACGGGGGCCCGCACAAGCGGUGGAGCAUGUGGUUUAAUUCGAUGCAACGCGAAGAACCUUACCUACUCUUGACAUCCAGAGAAUUCGCUAGAGAUAGCUUAGUGCCUUCGGGAACUCUGAGACAGGUGCUGCAUGGCUGUCGUCAGCUCGUGUUGUGAAAUGUUGGGUUAAGUCCCGCAACGAGCGCAACCCUUAUCCUUAUUUGCCAGCACGUAAUGGUGGGAACUUUAGGGAGACUGCCGGUGAUAAACCGGAGGAAGGUGGGGACGACGUCAAGUCAUCAUGGCCCUUACGAGUAGGGCUACACACGUGCUACAAUGG
rnacentral:rRNA from 1 species